GACGAACGCUGGCGGCGUGCUUAACACAUGCAAGUCGAACGGAAAGGCCCUGCUUUUGUGGGGUGCUCGAGUGGCGAACGGGUGAGUAACACGUGAGUAACCUGCCCUUGACUUUGGGAUAACUUCAGGAAACUGGGGCUAAUACCGGAUAGGAGCUCCUGCUGCAUGGUGGGGGUUGGAAAGUUUCGGCGGUUGGGGAUGGACUCGCGGCUUAUCAGCUUGUUGGUGGGGUAGUGGCUUACCAAGGCUUUGACGGGUAGCCGGCCUGAGAGGGUGACCGGCCCCAUUGGGACUGAGAGACGGCCCAGACUCCUACGGGAGGCAGCAGUGGGGAAUAUUGCACAAUGGGCGGAAGCCUGAUGCAGCAACGCCGCGUGCGGGAUGACGGCCUUCGGGUUGUAAACCGCGUUCGCCUGUGACGAAGCGUGAGUGACGGUAAUGGGUAAAGAAGCACCGGCUAACUACGUGC
rnacentral:rRNA from 1 species